rnacentral:misc_RNA from 1 species
GAUGAAGAACGUAGCGAAAUGCGAUAAGUAAUGUGAAUUGCAGAAUUCAGUGAAUCAUCGAAUCUUUGAACGCACAUUGCGCCCGCCAGUAUUCUGGCGGGCAUGCCUGUUCGAGCGUCAUUACAACCCUCAGGCCCCCGGGCCUGGCGUUGGGGAUCGGCGGAGCCCCCCGUGGGCACACGCCGUCCCCCAAAUGCAGUGGCGGUCCCGCCGCAGCUUCCAUCGCGUAGUAGCUAACACCUCGCGACUGGAGAGCGGCGCGGCCACGCCGUAAAACACCCAACUCUUCUGAAGUUGACCUCGAAUCAGGUAGGAAUACCCGCUGAACUUAAGCAUAUCAUAGCGGAGGA